rnacentral:rRNA from 1 species
AACGAACGCUGGCGGCAGGCCUAACACAUGCAAGUCGAGCGAAGCCUUCGGGCUUAGCGGCGGACGGGUGAGUAACGCGUGGGAACGUGCCCUGUGCUACGGAAUAGCCCCGGGAAACUGGGAGUAAUACCGUAUGUGCCCUUCGGGGGAAAGAUUUAUCGGCAAAGGAUCGGCCCGCGCUGGAUUAGGUAGUUGGUGGGGUAAUGGCCUACCAAGCCGACGAGCCAUAGCUGGUUUGAGAGGAUGAUCAGCCACACUGGGACUGAGACACGGCCCAGACUCCUACGGGAGGCAGCAGUGGGGAAUCUUAGACAAUGGGGGAAACCCUGAUCUAGCCAUGCCGCGUGAUCGAUGAAGGCCUUAGGGUUGUAAAGAUCUUUCAGUGGGGAAGAUAAUGACUGUACCCACAGAAGAAGCCCCGGCUAACUCCGUGCCAGCCGCCGCGGUAAAAC